rnacentral:rRNA from 1 species
UGCCUCAUACAUGCAAGUCGAACGAGGUCUUCGGACCUAGUGGCGCACGGGUGAGUAACAUGUGGGAAUCUACCUAAAGGUUCGGAAUAACUGCGGGAAACUGUAGCUAAUACCGGAUGUGUCUGCAAAGAGAAAGAUUUAUCGCCUUUAGAUGAGCCCGCACUAGAUUAGCUAGUUGGUGAGGUAAUUGCUCCACCAAGGCUACGAUCUAUAGCUGAUUUGAGAGGAUGAUCAGCCACACUGGGACUGAGACACGGCCCAGACUCCUACGGGAGGCAGCAGUAGGGAAUAUUGGACAAUGGGGGAAACCCUGAUCCAGCAAUGCCGCGUGAGUGAAGAAGGCCUUCGGGUUGUAAAACUCUUUCAUCAAUGAUGAUAAUGACAUUAGUUGAAGAAGAAGCUCCGGCUAACUUCGUGCCAGCAGCCGCGGUAAUACGAAGGGGGCU